UUAACUAUUGUAUGGUACUCGGACGACACUAAACUUCAGGGUUGGGGCCUCUGGCGGGCGCGCGUUAGCCGGGGCCAACGGUCGGGCAGAGCCCGACGGCCCGCCAAAGCAACAAAGGUAGUGAUAACACGGGGUGGGAGAUCUACCCGCGAGGGGCGCGAACUCUGUAAUGAUCCCUCCGCAGGUUCACCUACGGAGA
rnacentral:misc_RNA from 1 species